GUUCGGAAAUGUUUGAAAGUUUAAUAUUACCGAAUGUUAUGAAAUGUGUGUAUGCGCUAUUUUGAUUUGGGAUGAACUAUGGAUAUAAAAUGGAUUUUUUAGAAAUAACCCAAAACUAAUUUAAAUAUCAAUUUAAAUAAUAAUAAAAAACAGUAGAAAACCCAAUUAAAAUCAAAUUAAUCCAAUAAUUUGUUAAAAUUACUUUUGACAUCAAUUCUAACAUCUAUUUGAAAAUUAAAAUCAAUUA
rnacentral:lncRNA from 1 species